UGCAGAGGUCUCAAGCGUUGUUCGGAUUCAUUGGGCGUAAAGGGUGCGUAGGCGGCGCCAUAAGUCAGGUGUGAAAUCUCGGGGCUCAACCUCGAAACUGCACUUGAUACUGUGGUGCUUGAGUACUGGAGAGGAGAUUGGAAUUUACGGUGUAGCAGUGAAAUGCGUAGAUAUCGUAAGGAAGACCAGUGGCGAAGGCGAAUCUCUGGACAGUUACUGACACUGAGGCACGAAGGCCAGGGGAGCAAACGGG
rnacentral:rRNA from 1 species